UUAGAUCCAAGUACUCAAGUCUUUUCUUAGAGUCUCUUCCAAAGUUUUCCUAGGUCUUCCUCUACUCCUUCGGCCCCGAACCUCUGUCCUGUAGUCACAUUUUCGAACCGGAGCGUCAGUAGACCUUCUUUGCACAUGUCCAAACCACCGGAACCGAUUUUCUCUCAUAUUUCCUUCAAUUUUGUCUACUCCUACUUUACCUCGGAUAUCCUAAUUCCCAAUCUUAUCCUUUCUCGUGUGCCCAUACAUCCCACGAAGCAUCCUCAUCUCCGCUACACCCAUUUUGUGUACGUUGAUGCUUCACCGCCCAACAUUCUGUGCCAUACAACAUCGCUGGCCUUAUUGCCGUCCUAUAAAAUUUUCCUUGAGCUUCAGUGGCCUACGACGGUCACACAACACGCCGGAUGCACUCUUACACUUCAUCCAUCCAGCUUGUAUUCUAUGGUUGAGAUCUCCAUCUAAUUCUCCGUUCUCUUGCAAGAUAGAUCCUAGGUAGCGAAAACGGUCACUUUUUGUGAUCUUCGCUAGAUUGCUCCGGUCAUUAGUGUGGAUAAGUAUAUAAAUGGAUAGAGAUAGGAAAGCAAACACAAGAUGUACGUGGUUCACCCAGAUUGGCUACGUCCACGGAAUAGAGGAGUUCUCAUUAAUUGUGAAGGGUUUACACAAGUACAUAGGUUCAAGCUCUCCUUGAGUGAGUACAAGUGAAUGAUUUAGUACAAAUGACAUUAGGAAAUAUUGUGGGAGAAUGAUCUCGUAGCCACGAAACUUCUAAGUACCGGAGUGUGGUAUCGUCUUGACUUGCCUUAUCUGUCUCAUAGGUAGAUGUGACAUCUUCUCUGGAAGUACUCUUCCUCCAUCCAGGGGUGGUAUCUGUAACUGGUGGAGAUGCACAAGGUAAAUGUAUCAAUUUCACUUGAAGCUUACUUGUAGUUUCAUGCUUGGUCAAGCGAGAUACAAACCAUGUAGUAGGAGUCCCCCAAGUCGCCGAGCUGGGGGAUCUGCUGAAAGAGGUGACAGACAAGGUAAGCAAUCAAAGCUCCGGCUGAUUGUUCACAUUCUCCCUAUCUUGCAGGCAGCAUGAAGGAUAAAGAGAAGAAAAAUGAGAAGAGAUGAUAUGGGAUACUUUUGCUUUUGAAGAAGUAACUUUCCACAGGCUUAUUCUUGAACUGGGCUGGAGGGUUUUCUGGUUUCCUCCAGAGUAUAAGGCCGACUGAAGAAUUUGAGGGUCAAAAACAAGUCCAUCAAAUCUAGAGUACGUUCGACCCUGCUGAUAUGGGAUACUUUUGCUUUUGAUAGAGUAGUGGAUGUAUCGGCACAUGUGCUGUUACGCUUGUCUCCACAUGCUUCCUUGUAUCCUUCUCACUUGCCCUAUCUGUUCCUCAGGCAGAGAUGCGGUAUCUUCCCUGGAAGCAUAAGAUGUUGAAGAUGAGUACUCGAGAGCAAUGCCAGGUAAGUAAUCAGGUAAGGGGUUCCAGGCAGUCAGUUCCUGGCUGGAAGCUUGAUUCCAAGUGCUGACUGAUUGCUCUCUUUCUCCUUGUCUUGCAGGUAAGAACAAGGCCAAAGGAAAAGACAGGGAAAAAGCAUGAUAUGGGAUACUCUUGCUUUUAACCCUGAUGAUAUGAGAUAUUCUUGCUCUACUAUAGCUUGUUUACAGAGGUAUUAUCGGGGGGAAAGAAAGCUGAAUAUUUCGAAAGGCUUUGUUGGGAGUGCCCUCUCAGAUAAGAGAAAGGGUUGAGCAUUUUUGCAGGUCUGCCUGUCCGUUAGGGAUGGAAGUCGACAUAUAUAGGAGUCUCCCUAACAUCAAGUAAUAAUGCUAUUCCUUUACCCUGCUUGGUUAUAGCACGGUAGUGGGAGCUGCCAGCUUCACAUGUUUUAACUCUGUGUCAGAGCACUUUGAAAAAGUGGUUUGUGGUAUCUGGAAAGCUGAUGUUGCGUGUGAAGAUUACAGACCUGUCGGGGGUCUGGCUCUCGAGAUUCGGAGAACGAUGCCUCUUCGAUUUUUGAGAAAGCAAUCCUGCUGGGGGUCUGGCUCUCGAGAUUCGGAGAGUGGUGUCUCUUCAAUUUUUGAGAAAGUAAUCAUGUUGGGAGUCUGGCUCUCGAGAUUCGGAGGGCCGUGCCUCUUCGAUUUUGGAGCAAGCAAUCUUGUUGGGAGUGUUUUCUCGAAUGUGAGUAAAGGUUGGGCAUGUUUGCUAGUCUACCUUGCCACGAAGCACAGAGGUUGACACACAGGGACUUUCCAAUUAUCCAGCAGUGGUACUGUUCCUUUACCCUCUCUUCGAUUUUGAGAAAGUAAUCAUGUUGGGAGUCUGGCUCUCGAGAUUCGGAGGGUGGUGCCUCUUCGAUUUUGGAGCAAGCAAUCUUGUUGGGAGUGUUUUCUCGAAUGUGAGUAAAGGUUGGGCAUGUUUGCUAGUCUACCUUGCCACGAAGCACAAAGGUUGACACACAGGGACUUUCCAAUUAUCCAGCAGUGGUACUGUUCCUUUACCCUCUCUUCGAUUUUUGAGAAAGUAAUCAUAUUGGGAGUCUGGCUCUCGAGAUUCGGAGGGCGGUGCCUCUUCGAUUUUGGAGCAAGCAAUCUUGUUAGGAGUGUUUUCUCGAAUGUGAGUAAAGGUUGGGCAUGUUUGCUAGUCUACCUUGCCACGAAGCACAGAGGUUGACACACCGGGACUUUCCAAUUAUCCAGCAGUGGUACUGUUCCUUUACCCUUGUGGGUAAUAAUAUGGUAGCUAGACCUUCAAAAUUUAUGUGUCUAAACUUUGUUAGUGUUGUUUCUUUGCAAUUCUUUUACCCUUCUUGGUCAGAGCGAUGUAGUGGGAGCUGCAAGCUUCACGUGUCUCAACUUUGUCAGAGAACUUUGGCAAAGUUAUCUGUGGUACCCAUGAGCUACUGUUGCGUGUGGGAAGUGGGUGAUUGAACAGUACGAUUCAUGUGCUUUCUACUUCGCCAGAAAUCUUCAACAGAAUGCCCAUAAUUUCCGCAAAGCUGAGUGUGCGUGUGACAGGUGCUGACAAGGCUGGAAAAGUAGGUGCCUCUUCGAUUUCUGAAAUCGGCCCUCGUGGUCUCUGAGCAGCCCAGCUUUUGAGAAAGCAAGCCUCUUCGAUUUCUGAGAUCGACCUUUGUGGUCUUUGAGCAGCCCAGCUUUUGAGAAAGCAAACACCUCUUCGAUUUCUGAGAUCGACCCUCGUGGUCUCUGAGCAGCCCAGCUUUUGAGAAAGCAAACGCCUCUUCGAUUUCUGAGCAGGCGCCUCUUCGAUUUCUGAAGCUUCGUCGAGUGCAGAUUUUUAUAGGGGCUAACAUUAAGUUCCAAAGCACACUUGAAUAUCCACCAGUAGAAGCUCCAUUCUUGCACUUCUAAGAUCUUGAUUUGUCCGACCUCUUCUCUCUUCAACACCUUUGAAAAUGUCUGGCCCCUCCGACCGUCGUUUUGACUUGAACCUUGUUGAAGAGGCAGCCCCCGCCUUCUCCAGACAACAUAUGGCGCCCAUCCUUCGUCUCCCCUACUGGUCCUCUUACCGUUGGGGAUUCCGUGAUGAAGAAUGAUAUGACCGCUGCGGUAGUGGCCAGGAACCUUCUCACUCCCAAAGAUAACAGACUACUUUCCAAACGGUCUGAUGAGUUGUCUGUUAAGGAUUCUCUGGCUCUCAGUGUUCAGUGUGCAGGUUCUGUGUCUAAUAUGGCCCAACGCCUAUUUGUUCGAACCCGCCAAGUUGAAUCAUUGGCGGCUGAAGUGAUGAGUCUCAAACAGGAGAUUAGAGGGCUCAAGCAUGAGAAUAAACAGUUGCACCGGCUCGCGCAUGACUAUGCUACAAACAUGAAGAGGAAGCUUGAUCAGAUGAAGGAAUCUGAUGGUCAGGUUUUACUUGAUCAUCAGAGAUUUGUGGGUUUGUUCCAAAGGCAUUUAUUGCCUUCGUCUUCUGGGGCUGUACCGCGUAAUGAGGCUCCAAAUGAUCAAUAUCUGAUGCUUCCUCCUUCUAGGGUUUUGUCCAGUACUGAGGCUCCGAAUGAUCCCCCUCCGGUGCCUUCUCUUUCUGGGGCUCUACCGACUGCUGAGACUUCUCCUAAGCAACCUUUGUGAAGGCUCCCUCUUGUUUGUUUAUUUUGACUCAAGUAUAUGUACAUAUUUGUAACUUAUCGGGAAUAUCAAUAAAUAAACUUUCCUUCAUUUCAACGUAUUGUGUUAAAUACACCAAAACCUUCUUCGCUAAGUUCUUUGAAUUUUCUUUUGUUGAAGCUUGUAUGUUGAAGCUUUGUGAGUGGAGCAUAUAGGUUGAGGUAGUGUUCCCUUAAUUUCCCGAGUGAGGAAAACUUCUCGGUUGGAGACUUGGAAAAUCCAAGUCACUGAGUGGGAUCGGCUAUAUGAAUCUUAGAACGCCAUUGUGUUCUGUCCGUCCAUUGUGUUCUGUCCUGUGUCAUGUCCUCCGUUAGAUCCAAGUACUCUAAGUCUUUUCUUAGGGUCUCUUCCAAAGUUUUCCUAGGUCUUCCUCUGCCCCUUCGGCCCUGAACCUCUGUCCCAUAGUCGCAUCUUCUAAUCGGAGCGUCAGUAGGCCUUCUUUGCACAUGUCGAAACCACCGUAACCGAUUUUCUCUCAUCUUUCCUUCAAUUUCGGCUACUCCUACUUUACCCCGGAUAUCCUCAUUCCUAAUCUUAUCCUUUCUCGUGUGCCCACACAUCCAACGAAGCAUCCUCAUCUCCGCUACACCCAUUUUGUGUACGUGUUGAUGCUUCACCGCCCAACAUUCUGUGCCAUACAGCAUCGCCGGCCUUAU
rnacentral:lncRNA from 1 species